rnacentral:rRNA from 1 species
CCUACGGGUGGCAGCAGUGAGGAAUAUUGGUCAAUGGGCGCAGGCCUGAACCAGCCAAGUCGCGUGAGGGAAGACUGCCCUAUGGGUUGUAAACAUCUUUUAUAAGGGAGGAAUAAUGACUACGUAUAGUCAGAUCACCGUACCUUAUGAAUAAGCAUAGGCUAACUUCGUGCCAGCAGGCGCGGUAAUACGGAGGAUGAGAUCGUUACACGGAUUUAUUGGGUUUGACGGGUGCGGAGGGGGUAUUUUAAGUUAGUGGGAAAACGUCGGGGCUUCACCUUGAUUAGCCAUUAAGACUGGAGUACUAGAGUACAGACGAGGUAGGCAGAAUACGAUAAGUAGCGGUGAAAUGCUUAGAUAUAACUUAGAACCCCGAUAGCGAAGGCAGCUUACCAGACUGUGACUGACGCUGAAGCACGAGAGCGUGGGUAGCGAACAGGAUUAGAUACCCCAGUAGUC